AUGCAGAUGGACUCCUACUACUUCCACGACGACGCCCACUUCUUCGCCGGCUGCGGCGUCCCCGGCUCGCCGGACCUGCCCUUCGCCGACCUCAUUGCGUCGCUCUCGGAGCCGCUGCCUGAGGUGGCCAGACAGAGCGCGUUCCGGGAGUACCGCGGCGUCGGGCUGGAGCUUCCGGGCACGGCGCGGGGCGGGACGGGGAACGGGAUCAACAUCCACCGGAGGAUGAUGGACGUGCUGGGCAGGAUGGGGCCGGCCACCGAGGAGGAGCAGCGGCCGCAGCACCAACAGCAGCAGGCGGCCGGCGCUGUCGAGAGCAGCCGCGGGUUCCGGCACAUGAUGCGCGAGCGCCAGCGCCGCGAGAAGCUCAGCCAGAGCUACGCCGACCUCCACGCCAUGGUCUCCUCCCGUUCCAAGGUACUUCGACCGUCCGCGCCCGCUGUCCUCCCACAUUCCAUUUCACUGGUGCUCGAAUGCCAUGUGCUGAAUGAACGAGUGAUGCCAUUGCAGCAGGACAAGAACUCGAUCGUGCAGUCCGCGGCCGUCUACAUCCACGAGCUCAAGGUCGCCAAGGAGCAGCUCCAGAGGAGGAACGACGAGCUCAAGGCCAAGAUCCUGGGGCACGACGCGCAGCAGCAGUGCGUCAAGGUCCAGUUCGAGGUGGACGAGCCCUCGUCCUCCAUCGACUCCAUGAUCGGGGCCCUCACGCGCCUCAAGAGCAUGAACGUCAAGACCAGGGGGAUCCACUCCAUCUUGUCCGGCCAGCGGUUGACGACGGAGAUGAAUGUCGAAACCACGAUUGCGGCUUGCGAGGUAGAAAAGGCAGUGGAGGAGGCUCUCCAGGAAGUAGAGAGGAAUCAGCUGCCUGACAGCGAGGCCCCGUUUCCCGGAAGCAGGAGCGCCUGGCCUCAAACAUCACACGUGCAAAAUGUGUUCUGA
rnacentral:rRNA from 1 species